CCUACGGGGUGCAGCAGUGGGGAAUAUUGGGCAAUGGGCGCAAGCCUGACCCAGCAACGCCGCGUGAAGGAAGAAGGCUUUCGGGUUGUAAACUUCUUUUCUCAGGGACGAAGCAAGUGACGGUACCUGAGUAAUAAGCAUCUGCUAACUCCGUUCCAGCAGCCGCGGUAAUACGGGGGAUGCAAGCGUUAUCCGGAUUUAGUGGGUUGAAAGGGUGCGUAGGCUGUGAGGUAAGUCAGCGGUGAAAUGCCCCCGCCCAACGGGGUGAAGUUCCAUUGAUACUGCCUUGCUGGAAUGCGGAUGACGUGGGAGGAAUGUGUGGUGUAGCGGUGAAAUGCAUAGAUAUCACACAGAACACCGAUUGCGAAGGCAUCUCACGAAUCCGCGAUUGACGCUGAUGCACGAAAGCGUGGGUAUCAAACAGGAUUAGAUACCCUUGUAGUC
rnacentral:rRNA from 1 species